GAUAGCUCGGGAUCGGGGAAAUUUAUUGCGUUAACAAAAACUUACCGGUAUAAAUCGAGAUUUUCGUCUUACGGUCAACCGAAAACUUUAUCGGUGUAUCCCGAUCGGCCGGUAGGUAUAAACGCCGUGUACAUAUACACCGUACACCGUAAACCGCGUGGCGUACUGCAAUAAUAUGCACGACCGUGGAUUCUGCUCGGGUCAUUUGUUUCGCCCGAAACACUGCAACGCGGCCGAAUGUUAUCGUCCCGCGCGUAGUAUCCGGAUC